AGUGAACGCUGGCGGUAGGCCUAACACAUGCAAGUCGAACGGCAGCACGGUAAGAGCUUGCUCUUACGGGUGGCGAGUGGCAGACGGGUGAGGAAUACAUCGGAAUCUACUUUUUCGUGGGGGAUAACGUAGGGAAACUUACGCUAAUACCGCAUACGACCUACGGGUGAAAGCAGGGGAUCUUCGGACCUUGCGCGAUUGAAUGAGCCGAUGUCGGAUUAGCUAGUUGGCGGGGUAAAGGCCCACCAAGGCGACGAUCCGUAGCUGGUCUGAGAGGAUGAUCAGCCACACUGGAACUGAGACACGGUCCAGACUCCUACGGGAGGCAGCAGUGGGGAAUAUUGGACAAUGGGCGCAAGCCUGAUCCAGCCAUACCGCGUGGGUGAAGAAGGCCUUCGGGUUGUAAAGCCCUUUUGUUGGGAAAGAAAAGCAGCAGGUUAAUACCCCGCUGUUCUGACGGUACCCAAAGAAUAAGCACCGGCUAACUUCGUG
rnacentral:rRNA from 1 species